GGACUUCUUUGGCCAAGAGGGGGCCCGGGCUGUCACCAUUCCCGGCAAGCCCGCGACCAAGCAGGCAGCGGAGGCGGCGCAGGCCGAGAGCUCCCGCCCCUCUGACAGUGAGAGAAGGGUCGCAGCGCCCACGGCUGCCUAGAACCCGAAAGAAGAGGAGCGGGGUGCGGGGACACAGGGUUGCUCAAGAAAGUGAGCUAUGCGCAGUGCUCCGGAAGAGCUUGUCUCAAACCAGGUCCCAAGUGAGGGCAGAGGCGUAACUUCGUACUGGGCAGUUUAAAAGGUGUUCCAAUAUCGCAGUUAUCUCCGCGUGGACACUCCAUUAAACCGACCCCGCGUGUGAACACACUUGAUGAUGUUAUACCUAAGCUCCACUGCAACCAUUCACAAUGCCUCCAUUGCUAAAAUCAGUCAUCUUCCUGCGAAGGCAUGAGGAGGAAAAGAGAGGAAGUAACUGAGCGAUAAUAUGCUGUAUGAGCCUCCUGCUCUGCUGCCCAUUACCUGCGUCACCUCCACAAGCUACUGAACCUCAAGGAACCCAUCUCCUCAUCAGGAAAAAAAAUAAGCUUUAUGUAGCAGGGUCUGAACUCUGUAGGUCUUCACCACGGCUCAGGAGGAUGAGGAGCAGUGACAGGCCAAACUACGAGAAAAGACAGAGGGAAUCAAACUCAACACUGUGUCUAAACCUCCUCCACCACUGUUGAAGGGAUCCUGGCAUCAGAUGGGGAACAGCUCUAAAUCAAAAUAA
rnacentral:lncRNA from 1 species